AUUGAACGCUGGCGGCAGGCCUAACACAUGCAAGUCGAACGGUAACAGGAAACAGCUUGCUGUUUCGCUGACGAGUGGCGGACGGGUGAGUAGUGUCUGGGUAACUGCCUGAUGGAGGGGGAUAACUACUGGAAACGGUAGCUAAUACCGCAUAACGUCGCAAGACCAAAGAGGGGGACCUUCGGGCCUCUUGCCAUCGGAUGUGCCCAGAUGGGAUUAGCUAGUAGGUGGGGUAACGGCUCGCCUAGGCGACGAUCCCUAGCUGGUCUGAGAGGAUGACCAGCCACACUGGAACUGAGACACGGUCCAGACUCCUACGGGAGGCAGCAGUGGGGAAUAUUGCACAAUGGGCGCAAGCCUGAUGCAGCCAUGCCGCGUGUAUGAAGAAGGCCUUCGGGUUGUAAAGUACUUUCAGCGGGGAGGAAGGGAGUAAAGUUAAUACCUUUGCUCAUUGACGUUACCCGCAGAAGAAGCACCGGCUAACUCCGUGCCAGCAGCCGCCGUAA
rnacentral:rRNA from 1 species